rnacentral:rRNA from 1 species
UACGUAGGUGGCAAGCGUUGUCCGGAGUUACUGGGCGUAAAGCGCACGCAGGCGGUCUGCUAAGUUUGGAGUGACAGUUGGUGGCUUAACUGCCAAAGUGCUUCGAAAACUGACAGACUUGAGGGCUUCAGAGGGACACGGAAUUCCGGGUGGAGUGGUGAAAUGCGUAGAGAUCCGGAGGAACACCAAAGGCGAAGGCAGUGUCCUGGGGAGUACCUGACGCUCAGGUGCGAAAGCCAGGGGAGCGAACGGG